rnacentral:misc_RNA from 1 species
AAAACAAAGAUAAGAGAUAAGGCUCUUGUGAAAGUGAAAUAGACAUGAUAAAUGGAAUGUAUUAGCUUUUUCGUGGCCUUUCUUUUGAUCAUAUUUCAUGUUUGUUGUAUAAUUCUUGUGUUGAUACGACUUUGCUUUUGUCUGAGCAUGAAACUGCAAAAACUUGACACACUGUGUUUUUUUAAGGCAAAUGUUCAUCAUUAAUAGGAAAUGAAUUUUAGGGGUUACAUCAUGCAUUCUUUUGAACUCACAUGCCUUCCUUAUCUUCACAGUAUGUUUGGCUCACAACUGGAAUGGUUGCUGCUUUUAGGAAACAAACUUGGCUUGCUUUGAUUUUCUCAUUGCUUAUCACAUUGAGACCUAAAUUGAUCCAGACAUUAUAGCCUUAGAUCUGUGCUUUUUUUUUGUCCAGAUCUCUAUUGCAUGUGUUACAGAUCACUUGUAAGGAUUUAAUAAUAAUCUGGAUGCAAGACACCUGUUUUCAUGAAAAAAGCAAGCACGUAAUUGGUGGUCUUUCUCCAACAGUGGGAUCGUGAGAGGACUAUGAUCUUUGAAUUCUUUGUUGUCUCAUAAUUUAUAUACCAUGAUUGUCAAAGGCUGAGACUUGGUCAACAAAACCAUAUUAUUUUAUUUUUGUUACUAUAAUAAAUGUUUCCAAGUAAAA